GGCGUGCUUAACCACAUGCAAGUCGAACGGAGCCGAAUGAAAAGCUGCUUUUAUAAGCUUAGUGGCAAACGGGUGAGUAACACGUAGACAACCUGCCGACAGGAUGGGGACAACAUUCGAAAGGAAUGCUAAUACCGAAUGAAGCGCAGGAGAGGCAUCUCUCCUGCGUGAAAGAUGGCCUCUGAAUAUGCUAUCACCUGUUGAUGGGUCUGCGUCUGAUUAGCUGGUAGGUGAGGUAACGGCUCACCUAGGCGACGAUCAGUAGCCGGUCUGAGAGGAUGAACGGCCACAUUGGGACUGAGACACGGCCCAGACUCCUACGGGAGGCAGCAGUGGGGAAUCUUCCGCAAUGGGCGCAAGCCUGACGGAGCAACGCCGCGUGAGUGAAAGAAGGUCUUCGGAUCGUAAAAGCUCUGUUGAAUGGGGAACGAACGUGCC
rnacentral:rRNA from 1 species